GUUAUUUGGCCGCUUAAGGCACUCCAGUACUCGAACAAGCGUCUUACUCACCCGACUUGGCACCCUGCGACUUUUACUUGUUUCCGAAGAUAAAGUCUGCCUUAAAAGGAAUCCGGUUUGAGUCGAUGGAAGAGGUGAAACAAAAAUCGGCGGAACUCCUGAAUGGUCUUACGAAAACAGACUUCCAGCACUGUCUCGAGCAAUGGAAGAAACGAAUGAAACGGUUUGUGGUGAGAGGAGGGGAGUAUAUUGAAGGGGAGCAUUUGAAUGUAGAAUAAUUUUUAUAAUAAAACACUAUUUCUUAACCAGUC